rnacentral:lncRNA from 1 species
GGAAGUGUUAACAAGGCGGGAAUGGCUAACAAGUGGCAUGUUGUGUGUACUGUCAAGCUUUCAUUAUGCCAGGUUACCUGAACUUAUCUGCUUUCCCUGUGCCAGCAAUGUUUCUCUUGUAACUCAGGCAACUGGAGGAUUUUGAAGGUCUGGAAGGUCUGUGAAAUUCCCUGCAGCUCAACUCCCUCAUGAAAUUUUCCACUUCUUAUGUAACAAAAUUAAACCAGGAGGGAUAGCAGCUUGGAGAAGUGAGGGAAGAGAACUCUGAUCUGAGAGGCACAGGCUGCGGCCUUGAGUGCAGGACAGUUGUGAGGUAAAAAGUCAAGUUAAGCAGGGCUUUUCUUUUUCUUCCCUUUUUUUUUCUACUUCAAGGUACUUUCCCCGCUGGAGCGAAGAGGGAUUUUGGCAAGCAUUAAAGCUGUGCAAUUUUUAUCACAAAAAGGCAUUACAAACCACCCUCCCUAAAGAACUGCUCAACAAAAGAGGAAGAUACAGAAGCAAGGGAGCUGUUAGGUGCCUCAGUCUUCGCUAUAUUUCUGACAUACUGUACAUGUCAGUCAGCAGACAAUUAAGCAGAAUCAGAUGCAUGCCCAAUAGACAAUAAUGUAUUAAGUAAAUCUAGCCUUAGUUAUUUGCAGACUCAUGCUUUCCCUUCAAAGUAUUCAGCAUUUUGAACUAUUUGACUAAUCAACUUGUUGGGGCAAAAGUGGACUUCUCUCUGGGAGCAGGAACAAGUUGGAGGAUGCUACACACAUACAAACACAUACAAAGGAUUAACUAACAAAGAUAUUGGUUCUUAAUGUGUAAUGGUCUCUUAGCUAGCUAGUAUGGUUGACCUCUGAGGUCAACUCAAAUAUCCAGGCUGAGCUCGGGUUCAGGGCCCUUGCUUCCCUCCCUCCAACUCUCUGGUCUAUUGGACUAUCACCUUUUGUCCAUGUUCAUCGUUCUAAUUUGCUGUUUUAUAUGUAUUAUAUUUUGUACAUUGCCUCGAGACAUAAGUGGAAGGCGACUGAAAAACAAGAAUAAUUGGGGUGUUUCUUUCCGAUUGGCUCCCAAGAUUUUUAUCUUCCCCUCAGAAAUAACCUCUCAUUUAGUUUUCUGCCUUGCUGUUCCAAGAAAAUUUGGUCUCCAAACUGCAGUACAAAUGUAUCCCACUUGGCUCCUCCUUUUUAUCUUUAUCUUUACAAACAUCUCAAGCGUACGUAUUGCUGAAAACCAGUGCUCAUCAAAUCCACAUUUUAAAAUCUUGCUGAAGCAUAAUUGCUUUUGUAUCAAAAGUCAUUUUUGCUAAUUUUGUGCUUGCUCUGACUUCAUAUUAGCCUAUACAUAUGGUUCCCAGGCAGUUUUGUGGGACUAGAACAACAUGCACAUAUUGACAUACUAUACUUAUUACGUACAUGAAUAUACCUGUACCCAUAUAUACUAUAUGUAUGUAUGUAUGUAUGUUUGUAAAUGUGCACAUUUUGUUCUAGUCUUACAAACUGUAUGGGAACCACAUGUAUGCUGCUGUGGAUUCCAUGAUGGAAGAAAGAUGGACUAUAAUUGCAAGAAAAUAAACAUGUAUCUCAUUUAAUGGUUGUAAAAUUGGCAUUAAAUAUGACAAUGUAUAAAAUUGAGUGAGGGAAACCUUCAACCUCUCCAGAAACUCCAGGAUCAAUCUGACAGAAGUUUGAAUUAAGUCCCAAGAAUUUAAAUGUACCUCUGAGACCACUGGGUCUCUAAAGGCCUUUGGAUUGCAUGUUCUGUCUUUUACGUUAGGGUCUCUGUACUUUACAAAAGCACUUCCAAAGGACAAUUCCUAACUAAAUGGAUAAUAAAGUUUUCAGGACUUUGGUGUAGAUCAGGGGUGGAAAAGAUGGCCUCUAGACAUUACGGUAGAUUACAUUUGUAAUGAUCACUAACGAUUAAGAUUGCUGAGAGGCGAGUACUGAUGUAAUAGACCCACAGCCAGCAGGGGGCCAGACUCUGAGCUUUCAUUACAAAAAGAAAAGUCUCUAGCCCUCCUAGAAGGAAAGUUAUAAAGCAAAAGGUGAAAGUAUCAUUCUAAGCAAUUUCUGUGAGAUGAGCCAGCCUGACAGCUCCCGACUUUAAGAGCUUUUAUCCAAUGAGUGAGUCACUGGGGUACCAGGUCAUAAAGAGCUGCUGUUUUCCUCUCUCUUUUAGUGCACAUUUCCUGUUUCUGCCUCAUUUUCUAGUCAUUGGAAUCUCCAGAGUUUGCUCUCUGUUUUCCCCCCUAGUGAUGACACAUCUUUCCUGUGGGUUCAUCUGAGAUCAGGUACUCCCUAGAAAUUAUUUUUCUGCAAAUACUACUACAGUGGUACCUCGGGUUAAGUACUUAAUUCGUUCUGGAGGUCUGUUCUUAACCUGAGACUGUUCUUAACCUGAAGCACCACUUUAGCUAAUGGGGCCUCCUGCUGCCACUGUGCUGCCGCCGCCCAAUUUCUGUUCUUAUCCUGAAGCAAAGUUCUGAACCUAAUAUUAAUUUCUGGGUUAGCGGAGUCUGUAACCUGAAGCAUGUGUAACCUGAAGCGUAUGUAACCCGAGGAACCACUGUAUACAAUAAGUUUUGGUGGAUGUUAAAGAUACCACGCCCCAGCCUGCAGAUGACAAAUACAAAAUACAAAAACUUUGCAAAGAAGCUUACCAUCUCUGCUGCUUGUUUUCCAUUCUGUCCUACAGUCACCACAUGGAGCAGUUUCCAUUCCACUGCAGUUUGUCUAUCACCGAAAUCUAUGUUAAUUAUCCCACUGCUUGCUAUGGCAAAUUUAGGUCAUUUAUCUAAUUUAUUAUUUAAACUACAAAGUUAUGUUGUCAUCCUGUUAUUCCACCCCAUUCAUUUCAAUGCAAAGGAAAGGCAGUGCAAAUUGCGGGACAGGUGCGGGGAAGUAUAGUUUGUGGUCUGAGAGCAACAGCAGCAGCAAAUGCUGACCAUAUUCACUGGAUUUGUUUACAUUCCGGAAACAGGUAGAAUAAAUGAACAAUGGCUACUUCCACUCCCAUUCUUGUUGGAAUUUUCCAACAUCCCUAGUUCCUACUGAAUUUUAAUCCAGAUAAUCUCCAGCACUCACUUUACCAUUGUCAGAAACAGACCUGGCAGUGGUGGGGUGGGGGUUCAUUCCCAGAGUGACUUCAGACAGGAAGGCAUACUUUACAUGGGUGUGAAUGUGGCUGGACUGAAUUCCAUGUUUUAUCUCAUAUCUUUCAGGUGGCAAUGUAUGAGAAUGUCUUGUAUGUUUCCUGUGAACCAAUUCAGCCUGCUACAUGCCCUCUGGUUGUGCAGGAUCAACGAUUAUUUAACAAGAUACGCUGAAAUUCAGUAAGUCACAAUUAAUAGGUCAUUUUGUCUGUACUGCACAGCUAGGCAGGGCAAGAAUGAGGAUGUUUGCAUGCAGGUCAUGUGAAACAGAAAUUCGUCGUGCCGAAUUAUUUUUAAAUAGCUCUGGGUGUAUCCUAAGCCUUAAUGCACACACUGCAAAUGCUAAGGAUGUUUGGAACCCAAAUAACGCUAGAAACUAUGCCACAAAGCUAGUUGUGCUCUAGAUUCAGUCAGCAGCCUUGUCAGAACUCACAUAUCACAGAACUCACAGGUAUUUGGAUGCCCAACUUUUAACCGUGGUUCAAAUAAAAAGGUAUUCACACCCUUAACAAAUGUGUCAAGGCAUCAACUUGUAUAUAGAAUCUUCCCAUUUACACAUGACACUGAGAUAACCUGAAUACUUCCAAGUUGCCAGGAACCACUCAGAACAGCAAUUAGAUCUGCCUUCUGCAAUCCAGGUCUGUGCUAAUGUUCCAAUAGACAGGGCUUCCUCACCUCUUUAUAUGCUGCGUAAUCUUGUGGACUAUGCUGUGCUUCACUGAACGUUGCUUGUCCAGCAUAUUGAUACCUGUGGUCCUGGUUAUACAACAGUCGUGAUCAUGUUUAUAUAUUGUACACUUUAAGUGGCCUGUGGCAGCCAGCCAAUAUAUAUACUUAUGCGGGCAUCCCAGUUACUCACUGAACAGGUGGCUGACCUUGAGAGUCCGCCAAGGCCUAUCUAGAGGGAAAUAACAGACUCCCAGCACACACUGUCUUAGACAGAUGUAGACAUAGCUGGCUCAGCAAAAAAUGGCAGUGAAAGCUAUAGAAGCAGCAGCAAAGCUGACUUCUAAGAGACUCAGGUAGACUCAGCAUGGAAGGCGGCUGUGCAUCACUCUACACGAACUCCUUGACACACAAGUUUUCUGCAUAUUUCCAGUACAAGUCCCCCAACUUGCCCCCAAACCAGGGACUAAAUUUAAGUCAUUCUAAGAGCUGAUUUCCAACCGGUGGGAAAUCAUUUUUUUAUAUAUGCACACUAGAAAAGGAUGGUGUGGGGCAAGAACAUUUUCCCAUUUUCACUUCUGCCCUGCUGGCAAUAGCUUUACAGAGUUUUGAAUGAGGUGGUUGAGAUGGCUUGGGUCCCCCUACCCCCAGCAGUAGCCUUAGGAUUGCAUGGUUAAUGCUAUAUGUUCUUUGGCCCUUGACCCAUCUUGUGGCUUCAUUUUUGACAUGGUAUUUCAGUCAUAGGCUUCUUAGCUCCCAACUUGCUUUCUUAACUGGCUGCUCUUCUAGCUAACACAGUUCAAGGUGGUGCUCAAAGUUCAAGUGCAGCUCAACAGAAACGAUGGGCUACUGGACAAUGUCAUUUGCGCAAACCCCAGGUACAAUGGCAUUCCUUGGAGCAAGAUCGGAGCCUCGGGUUAUUAGUAGAAAUACUCAGCAGCUCCAGCCUGCCUUCUGCAUGGCCUUUUCAUGCUUUACGUUGUCUGAUCGCUCAGAUAAAAGUUCAAUUCCCCUUUAAACUUUUAAGAGCUUUAUAAAUUAUCAGAGGGUUUUAAUCCCCUUUUUCAUGAGAUAAAUGUAGUCUAAGCCUCAGACUCUAAUUGACUGGCUUUGGUUGUGUCCCUGCCCCCAGAGGUUUGUCUCUGAAGGAAAGCAGACCCUUCACACUGAGGGAGGCUUUCCACAAGGAACAAGAAUUGAGGAAAGAGAGCAACAAACAGCUUGGCUGCUUUGUUUUAAUAAAUUAUUGAAAGAAAAUAAUAGAAGCUAAUGGAUAGGAUUUGUAGUCCAACAACAUCUGGGGGACCACAGUUUCCUAGGACAAUUGUGGAAAGAGUAAUUGGGGGCUGACCCACACGGCAAGGUGGUGGGCAGUGGGUAGGAAGGGAAGAGUUUGUACACUGUUGGAAGUUUGUUCAGGACAAAGUGUGCAUUCCAGAAACAUUCAGCAAAGUACAGAAACAUCUCCUCUCAGUAAAAGAAAGUGGGGGAGGGAGGGGAAGAGAGAGCAUAUGAUAAACGCCCCUUGCUGGGGAGAAUGCCAGGGCUGAGCUAAGGUUCUGUAGGUGCACUUCAGUAUUUCCUGACUUGUCAAGUGAUUGACAGAUGCUGAGCAGUGUAGAAGAUAUAGGAGUGGCCAGUAAGAGAGGGGGGUGGGUUUCUUUUUUCUUUUUGCAAGAUUACUGGCAGGCAUGAAAGUCUCCAGCUCCAGACUUAUAGCCUUCUUUGGUUCCUUGCCAGUAAAGGUCCCUUCUGGGUCAUGAUGCACAAUUUACUGUUUCACUCACCAUAUGAUGGACUCUAGUAAAAUCAGUAGACUGGAUGACUCUGCCUUUUGUAUGGAGAGCAUGUUGCAUUACAGUGGCCAACUUCCAAGCCACUCAGUAGUUAUAACGAGCCACUUUGGGGGAAAGGGUUUCCUUUCUGAACUCUCUUAGCAAAAUUCUGGCUUCAAGGCCCCUGGACUUUUUGUGUAUGCAUUAAAAUGAUGGGUCCUGCUUUUCUCUUUGCCCUGGAUACUCAGUGUUUUGACCUCAAAGUAUCCAGGCAGUCAGACAAGGAAAACAAUGGCAAUUUUGCAAUGUCAACGACCCACCUGGGGAAGGGGAUCCUCCUUCUUUUUAUGCAUUUUCCAAGAACUUUCUUGCUUAUUUUGCCAAUAAUCUGGCAUUUCCAAUCUCUUCUUUCUUUCUUUCUUUCUUUCUUUCUUUCUUUCUUUCUUUCUUUCUUUCUUUCUUUUGCUUGUCAUUGUAGAACUGCUCCAACAACCCUUCAUUUUUUAAUCUUUGCAAAUGUUUGCAGGGUUCCUGCCAGCCCUGUGUCCAAAACUCAUCCAUCUGUGAAACAAGCAGCGAUCUACAGCAAAGUGCUUUUAUGAUGGGAGGUCCAGAGUUUCCAGGAAAGCCAGAUUCUCCUUGUGAAAUAUUGCCUUGUGGAAGCCGUGCUUAUAGUUACAAGGGUUGUGGGACAUGUGCAAACAUCUUCUGGAGUCUGUGCCUGCCUCAUCCCAGAUCCAGCAAGCCCUUCAACAUCUGUACCCUCAGAGGACCAAUGCUUUCAUUAUGUUUUGGUUCAUAAUGGCCCAUGCUCAUGCUCAAAUAUGUGCAUAUAUGCUAAUGAUCUAGGAAUGAACACUUAAGUUUACAUUUUUAGGCAGCAUAUAUCCCGGAAAGUCAAUGCACAUGUUGCUGUUGUUGUUUUCUCACAUGAUUUGGGGGGAUAAUAUGCACCACAUCACCAUUCUUAUAUUACAACUUCCAGAGGGGAAGCUGUGCUAACUUGUCACAACAAAAGCAAUGAAGUCUUGUGGUGCCUUAAAGACAAACAGAUUUGUGUGGCAUAAGUUUUCAUCGGAAGAACUCCCAGUUUGUAAAUACAGAAUAAUGUGUAGAUGCAUAUUCACAGGGAUAGGAAGAAAAAUUGUAAACAGAGGGGCCAGGGACUGUGAAAAGCAAGAGGAGCAGCCUGUGGUAUUGCUAUAAUCCUAUUCAUGUGUUCCCCUCACACAUUUCCCAUUGUGUGAGGGGAAAGAUUGAGGACAUGCUUGUGUCCCCCUGCCCCUUCCAUUUGCAUUCCUAAUAACCUGCCCCCACCAAACUCCAUGCAUUGAGACUGAGGGUCUCCAGAAGGAAGCUGGCUCUACUUAUGAGGCUCCCAGCAUGAUUUAGAACUCUGUGUGGGCAGGUUGGCAUAUGAGAGGGGAUGCAUUUAUAUCCCACCUUUCCUUCCAAGAGCUCAAAGUGGUGUACAUGGCUCUCUCCUCAUCUGAUAAUCACAAGAACCCUUUGAUGUAGGUUAGGCUAAGAGGCCGAGUUGAGGUUUGAACCCUGGUUUCCCAAGGUUCUAGUACAGCACUCUAACUUGUACACCACACUGCCUCUCUUCAAUUAUCCCAAAAGAAGUCUAAAUCUUUACUGUUUACAAAGUGUUAGCGCAAGGGUCAGCAAGCUUUUUCAGCUGGGGGCCGGUCCACUGCCCCUCAGACCUUGUGGGGGGCCGGACUAUAUUUUG